ACUGUGGGUUUGUCAUAUACAGCCUUUGUUAUGUUGAGAAGUUUACGAAGACAAAAGAGGAAUGACGACUCAGCAUAUUGUAAUUAUCCAGUUGAUAUUUAUCUUGUUCCAGUCACCUUUAGAAAGCUGUUUGGCAAGGGCAGUGACUGGAAGCUGGGAGAGAGGGUCAACAGCUGAAUCU
rnacentral:lncRNA from 1 species